GCGCCGCGGGCCUGUCACGUGAGCGCAGCUCCCCGCGCGUGUGCGCCUAUGGAACGCGGGGGCCGAGGCGGUAUGUCUCCGGACCGUGGCCUGGCCUCGGCGACACCGAGGCCGCGGCAGGGGCCCAGGCGGGGGCUCCCGGCCCCGGUACCGUCGGAGCCCGCCGCUUCCUGCUUUGUCUCUACGUGCUGGGAUUCCUGGAUUUGUUUGGUGUAAGCAUGGUCGUCCCUUUACUGAGCCUUCAUGUCAAGUCUCUUGGAGCGAGUCCAACAGUUGCUGGAAUAGUAGGCUCCUCCUAUGGCGUUUUGCAGUUCUUUUCCGGCACAUUGGUGGUAAGUCCUCUUCCACCUGGCAACACAUCUUGAAAGUAUAACCCUACGCCUCUGAGGCCACCCAUCAUGGCUGUAGUGAAAUAAGGGUUUGAGGUUUACCAAAAAGGAAGUGUGCAGAUGGUGAGGACUUGCAGUGCCCUUAGAUCAAGAAGGAUCCCUCGGUCAUCUCUCUCCCUCAGUUGACCUCUGAGAAGACAUAGGCCUGAAGAGAUGGCAUGGCUGGAUCUGAAAGGACCUCGCUGAGUCAGAAUGAGAGCCUGCUUUUUAAACUGUAACAUGUUUUUCCCAUGAUUCCCUGCCAACUUUUUACUAGGAGAAAAGAAUGUAAACAGAAGUUAUUACCAGUUUUGUUUGUUUCAAUUAAUUGACAAUCAUCAAAUCCAUUCAGAUCUUAGGAUUCUAUUUGAAGUUGGGCCUUUUUGAACUACAUGGCUUAUCAAUUAUAAAACUUAAGUGUGUAGACAGAGGAGCUACUGGGAGUGGUGGGUUGUACACCGACCACAGGGGAUAGAAAUACCCAGAGCUGAUCUCGCCACUGCCACUUCUGACCAUGCAGUAGUUUGCAGUUCAGAACCUUUCACUGAUGUGCCCCUUCUUUCCUGCCCCUGUGUGCCCUCCACUGCACCAUGCUGGUCCUGAGGCCUCGGCGUCCAGUGAUUCGUGUGCUACAAACAGAAUGGUCAGUUUAGUCCCAGGGAUUGAUCAGCUGUGACCUUGGUCUAAAUAGCUGGUCUCACAGUGAGUGAACACCAUGUACAUACAACACUAUGUUUCCCAAGAGUGGCUCAUGUGUAAAAUAUAUUUUAUUAUUUGUUUUUGUUAAUGAAUUUAUUUGUUUAUUUUUGGCUGCGUUGGGUCUUCGUUGCUGCGCGUGGGCUUUCUCUAGUUGCGGCGAGCGGGGGCUACUCUUCAUUGUGGUGCACGGGCUUCUCAUUGUGGUGGCUUCUCUUGCUGCAGAGCACGGGCUCUAGGCGCGUGGGCUUCAGUAGUUGUGGCACGAGCACUCAGUAGUUGUGGCUCGGGGGCUCUAGAGUGCAGGCUCAGUAGUUGUGGCACAUGGGCUUAGUUGCUCCGUGGCAUGUGGGAUCUUCCCAGACCAGGGCUCGAACCCGUGUCCCCUGCAUUGGCAGGCGGAUUCUCAACCACUGCGCCACCAGGGAAGCCCCUGAAACUACUUUAAUACUCUUAAAAAUUCUUCUUUCACAAAUUCCAGCUCUCAUGACCCCAUUUAGUACAAAUGAGAAUGGUUUUGAUGUAUAAAUAUAAAAGUUGGAAUUUCUGGGGCUUUCCUAGUUUCAUGUGAUGUAUUAUUUUCUCCAUAGUGAUUAAUUAAACAUUUCCAUGUAAUUUAAUAUUUUAAACUUCUGUAUGACAUUUCACAGAAACCAGGAGAAGCGCUCCUUUGUCAGCAUACACACAUAAAAUUUCUGUUUGGCAGAUACUGUAACUGGAGGCUUCAUUUAAAUUAGAAAUUUAAGUAGAAAAAAAGCCUCGUUUAAAUUAGAAAUUCAGUUACCACUCACUCGUACUUAUGACUCAGCAGGACCCAAUGAAAUAAAAAAGGGGAAAAACAUUUGAAUAUUUAAUUCAAAGUAUUUCGUUACAGAAGUGAAAAUCAGAAAAGUCACCACCAGUAUGUCCAGCAUUAAGUCUGCUGGGCAUCUCACGGAGGGAUUUUCUCCACCCUACAAUACGAGGAUGACGGGUCCCCAUAAAACCUCUGUGACAGACUGAAAGGUCCCGAGCCAUCCAAAAGAAUCAAUACGCCAUGCAGGUUGAAACGUGACCGUCCAUUUACAGUAGCUUGGUUAACUCUGUACACAGAAAAACUCAUUCCCUGACCAGACCGGUAUGAGAACUGACCCACAGUUUAUUGACUAUUCUUAGAGGUAGUCAAGUAGAAUUUUAUUUGAAAAAAAAUUGUAGAAAACUAGAAAUAUAAAAGGGAUUGGAAAAUGAUGUGCCAGCAGAACACUGAAAACACUCAACAACUAACUAACCAUGUGGGUAUCUAGCCACCAUCUGCUGACCGACCGUCUGAGGGUGUCAGCCACGUGGGAAGUGAAUGACAUUGGGAAAAAUUCCAAAGGGGGCUGUCAUUUCUUGUCAUUUCUCGUGGAUGAGAGCUAUGGUCCCUGCCAGGCAGCAGUUACCAGCUGGGGCUCUCACUUGCAUUGCAGGUAGGCUGAAGAAAGGACCUGGUUAAAAUGUGGGAUAUAAAAUACCAGCAAGCUGGGACUUCCCUGGCAGUCCGGUGGUUAAGACUUUGCCUUCCAAUGCAGGGUGUGUGGGCUCAAUCCCUGGUCAUGGCUUGCCACCAAAAAACCAAAAUAUAAAACAGAAGCAAUAUUGUAACAAAUUCAAUAAAGACUUUAAAAAAAAAAUGGUUCACAUCAAAAAAAAAAAAAAUCUUAAAAAAAAAAAAACCAGAAAACUACCCAUUUUGCUCUAAAAGUGGAGAAAAAAAAUGAACCAGAAAACCCCAGAUCGCCAGACAGUUCUGAUUCAUGAGCCUGACUUGUUCAAGCUGAUGGAGGGAAUCAAUAUUCAGUGUUCAGGCCUCAACAUAAUGUCACAGCUACUUCAACUGCACAAAGAAACCUUUCAAUCACUCUUGAAAGAGUAAAGUAUGCACUUGGAACUCAUAAAAUAUUAUAGUUCUCAUACUUGUUUGUGAAAUGCCAGUUUUAACAUAAACAUGAUUUGGGCAAUGCAGCAGAUGCAAAAUGUGCUGAGACAUGUAAUAAAUAACUGCUUCUCGCUUCUUAUAUAAACAAACAUGCCCCCCCCCCCGCCCGCCAGGUAAAACGGUACACUCCGACUCCAAAGCUUAGCAAAAGCCGAAGGGAAUUUCACCCUGAAAGUUUGGAGGCAUAUACAGCAAACACAUGUUUCUAAAAAGUGUCAGACUUUGGGGCCAAUUUCUAAUCGUUUGCUGACAACAUAGCUGCUCCCAACAAUCGGCCUUAGCAUCACAUAUAAAGAAAUAAGCCCUGACUUUGUAAGUAGUUCAAAUCAAUUUUUUUUACAACAAACAUUAAAGACCCAUCAAAAUUCCCCAGUCACACUGGAACUUUGGCCGGAUCAAGUGUUGUUUGAAACAAGGGAAUCAUUUACAAGGGCAGGAUGUUUCUGUACUGCAGAAAUUUAGAUUGUUGUGACAUUUAGUUAAAGGGUUUCAACUCCAUACCCUCUCCUCCUGUAGUGUCUAGAAAUUAAUAAUUUCAUAAAAAGAAGGUACAGAGAAAAAACUAAAGUCAAAUUUCUUUUUCAUCUAUUUUAUCAUUCCACAGAUAAGGAAAAAUUUAAACUGAUAAUAAAGAUAAAAUGACAUAAGUGUUCCUUUUUAGAAAUUUACACAACGUCAUCCAAGUGUUUUACCUGACUUUUAAUUGGUGAAAGCUGAAUUUGGUCUACGUGCUUAACAAGAAUGUUUAUCAUAAUAAACAUUUCCAUGUUUCUCUCCUUCCGUUCCAGAACGUUACACUCCUUCUAAUAUUUAUUAAUCUAGGACACCAAGAAAAAUCAGGAAAUUCAUUUUUAAGAUCAUUUUACAUUUCAACCUUCCUUUUCAGAUUUCAUAAACUGUAACUUAGUCUUCAAACUCUCAAGAAUAUACAUCACAUCUCUUGAUAAAUCGUAGUCCUAUAAUGAAAAUUCUAAAUUAAAAGUUUUAUUUCCAGCAGAUGAAACACAUAUAUAUUUUUUUAUAUAUAAAUAUUUCCAUUUAAAAUCAAGAAUUUUGGCACAGGGUCCUAAACUUGUAGUUUUCAAAUUAUGUCUACAUUGCUUUCCACUGAUCAACCUGGGAGAGUUUGGGAAAGAAAUUGUGCACUUUUUGAACUUGUACCUUGUGUGUUUACCCUUCCCUCUGUCUCAUGCCCAACAAUCUAGCAGUAUUCCAAGAUUUUAGAAUAUGAGAAAAAAAGGUAGAAGAUUUACUUCACGUUGGUGGAGGAAGAAGGAAGGGAUAAGAUUUACGGCUGAGGAUUUCUAAGUACCGGAUCUUUUUGUUUAAUUUAUUCAUAUUUUUGCAGCAAUUGUAUGUGGUCACUUGUCUCCUUUGCUGUAUCUCCAGUGUGAAUCCAAGGGACUACAUGAGUGGCUUCAUCUCAUAUCUAAACCCAGAAAUUUUGAGUCUUGUUCUAGUCAAGUUUUAAAGAGGGGGUUUUUCUGGGAAAAGUGACAGGCCAAUAAAAUCUAUAGUCUGAGAGAUUCCAAUAUUAAUCUUUAAUGAUUAUGUUCCACUUCUUGUCUUUCUGCUGUACUUUUAAAAAGUACUCAGUACUCAGUAGAAUUCAUUUUUAGAUGAAGAAUUUGAGCUACUACUUUCUUGAGGGGGGGAGAGGUAACAAAUUACAGACUAGUGCAAAAAAAAGAGAACUCCCACAUUCUCCAAAGUGCUUCCUGCAUAAAAUUCAAAACCUGAAUUCUCACCAAUUUGUUAAACAUUGGAAUAUUGUUUAUCCCUACUUUUAUCCUUGUCUGCUUGGAGCCUCUGUCCUGGAUUCAAAGUUCUAGAAUGUGCUACAGAAAAGGUGUAAAGCAGGUGGCUGCAGGUGGGCGUGACAGGGGAUCUCCUGCGUCUUCCUCCCAGUAUUGCACAAUAUAAAACCCGGCAGGCCAGCUGUGCAGGUGCUGCCCUGUCAUCUCCACACCCACCACGUGAGGCCAGACUUCAUCACAAGCUGGCUCUGAGUCUGGCAUACAGCAUAAGCUGGAUUCACCCACACAGCCCUUCUCUUUGUACCAUUUAAACACGACGGGGAGAUGGACUCUAGAUGUCUGUCACCCAAAACGACAUCAACGAGGUCAAAUGAGGAACGAAUUGCAAACCAGCUGGCUCUCAUCGUUUCAUAGGCGCUGCAGUCCGGGGGCCAGGCCACGAGGUUCUGUCUAGACGCUCCGGCUGUUGCCGUCCUCAGGGGUCUCUGCUCCGUGCUGUGCUUUUCCUUAACUGGCAUCAGCUCAGGAUCAGGAAACACCACCCCGAGCUGAUGGCCCCCCAUCCUCUAGGAGCUGCCCUGGAUGCCACGGAAAGGUGUUCUGAGUAUUUUCAGUGCCGUUCACUGAAAAACUAAUUACAGAUAUACAUAUUUUUUCAUAAAUAAAAUCUGAGGCAUAUAUGUAUAUAUUAAAGCUUUCACCAGCAAGGGUGUGUUAAAAAUUUCAAGUUCUGUCCUUCAAGCUCAAUACAGGCACACGUGGCUUUUUUUUCUUCAGGCUUGCAAAGGAUACAACUGCUAGCAACAGGUCAUAUGAGACAUUUUAUGGGGCUUCUGUUUCUUUGAUUUUCUUCUUCUUGGGAUAAGCAUUCGCCCCGUGGAUCAAAGGCAUGGCUCUACCACCCAAGGACAGUAUUUAGAUGCACAGAGGGUUGGAAGUGGAUUCCCUUGCUGUGUCAGGUUGCUGAGUAACCAGCCACAGCUGGGCAGGGCCGGUCCCCCCCGGGUCUGCUUUGGCCAUUUCCAUUAAGGCUUCUCACUCCCGAAUCGACCUUUCCGGUUUCCAGGUUCUGAUGCCCUUCGGACCAGCCUAGGUGGCGCCUUGGGUCGGAUGCCUUCGUUCAUACGGUCGCCCCGCACGGAGCCAAAGUGGCCUUUGGAGAGGAGGGGCUGGCAGAGCACACCUGGGGCCUGGGGGCCCCCCUCUUUGCUGUGGGCAGCUGGGGAGCUGUAGGGCUGCCCUGGCCCGGAAUCAGCGCCUACCUCGUUCUUCCAUUCCAUUUUACAGGCCUGGGGGGCUUUCUUUGAGAACUGUUCUGGCAAGAAGCGCCUGGCUCGGGGCUGCAGGUUGAGGACGGUGGUCCCGACGUCUGGGUCUGAGUCACUGCUGUUGCCACCUGCCAGGGAGCAAAAGAAUGACAGCGUGGGCGGGCCUUUUAGGGAGAAGGUGUGACAGGCGACUGGCCAAUACAUUCGUGGGUCCGGCACCUGCUGUGCCCUCCCUGGGGCUCUGGGGCUCGGGCAGGGAGGCCAGAGGGCGCACCCCGACUCCGGCUGAGUCCUGGGCACGUGCAUAAGUCCCGUGAGCACGGGUGUCCACAGGUGUGUACUCUUGCUAAUUCUGAAGAGCUUCCCAUGUGCCAGCCACUGUCCUAAGCACUUUUAAAUGCAUUAAUCUACUGAAUAAUCACCCACUUUACAUAUGAAGUAAAUGAGGUUCAAAAGAUAUUAGUAAGGGGUGGAGCUGGAUGUCAAACUGAGACCACCUGGCGGCAGCUGUGCGCUCACCUGCCCCAUCCGAACGGCCCCAGGGGGCUCAGUUCAGUGUCUGGCACACAGUAAACAGAUCAAUAAUUAGCUGCUAUUAUGAAGAUUCUUGUCUUGAUCUAGGAUGUACAAUCUCAUGCACAGCUUUAUUUCCUUUAUAUUUUCAUAAAAUGGUCAAAACACCAAUAUGGCUUGCAAUCUACAUAAAGAUUACCAUCAAAUGAAGAGGUAUUAGCUGUCAUGUCAAAGCUUUAAUAAUUACAGCCAGAAGUCAAUUAUAUAGUUGCCUUUAUGAAAAUAUAUUAAAAUUAUUAUGAACAUUUAAGUUAGAAAUGUUGUAAGAAUUACAGAAUUAAAUUUAAACCUUUGAAGAUUGACAACUUACUAUUUACCUGUUCACCAACCACACACGGUGACAUCUGCUUUUGCUAUAUCGAAUAGAAUCAAAUAACUGAUUGAAUUACGUAUAACGUGCACAGAACUCCAUUCCAAAAGGAUGCAACACUAAUUAAAGUCACCAAAUUAUUAUUAUAGAUUUGCAAACGACUGAACUCAUUGUCCUUAAAAAAGAAGGAAAAUUUUUCUAUUUUAUAAACACUAAUAAAUAAGUUUAAAGUCUUUUUGCUCCAACUGUAUUCAAUACCUGCAUUAGAAAUAUUCUUUUUCUUUUGUAGCUUUUCUGGAAGCUUUGUAUUUUUUGGUAAGGAUAAAUAUCGGGAGGUUGAGGUGGAAGCCUGUAAAAAAAAAAUAGAAAACCUUAUUUAGAUGACACACAUGUCAUUUAUUGUAUGUUACAGGCUUAGAAUUCUAUGUCAAACCUAACGUUGGUGUUAAAAAUUAAAAUUUUAGCUCUGGAUUCCAAAACUACUGGGUGAGGAGCUGUAGGGAUGGGGAGUAAAUUUCCAAGUAAUAGUCAUUUUAUUUAAAAAAGGUAAAACCUCUCCUAAAAUAUCAUGGAAAUCAAUACUACUAAGGAAAACAGAAAUAAAGUGGGACCCUUAGGAACAAGGUAUGAAAACCACCGGCUUUUCUUAAAGAAAAGCUACAGAAAUACCCACUUAUAAAAGCAUUACUAAAAAAGACUUAGAAGCUACAUGGAUAGGGAGGAAGAUAUAUGAAAAAUGUAGCAUGUUUAAGUUGUAUUUACUUUCACAAAUCUUGAAAAUGACAGAACAAAGUGUUACUAUAGCUAACUUGCUGGCAUUUCCAAAGCCACAGUCUCUAGUUUCUUUAACUUUUAAUCGAUGCUGCCACAUUUCACAUGUAAAAAAAAAAUAAUAUUGGGCUUCCCUGGUGGCGCAGUGGUUGAGAAUCUGCCUGCCAAUGCAAGGGACACAGGUUCGAGCCCUGGUCUGGGAAGAUCCCACAUGCCGCGGAGCGACUGGGCCCGUGAGCCACAAUUGCUGAGCCUGUGCGUCUGGAGCCUGUGCUCCGCAGCAAGAGAGGCCGCGACGGUGAGAGGCCCGCGCACCGUGAUGAAGAGUGGCCCCCGCUUGCCGCAACUAGAGAAAGCCCUCGCACAGAAACGAAGACCCAACACAGCCAUAAAUAAAUAAAUAAAUAAAUAAUUUUUAAAAAAUAAUAAUAAUAAUAUUGUUCACACAUAACCGUUUUGGUCUCUGACAACUCAGUAUAGAACAUUAUUGAGAAUGAGAUGCACUGCCUGCUAUGUUCGAUCGAUCAAUCAGAAUAUCCUUUUAAAGUGGCUUCCUUAUCUAUGGCAAUGCCCUGGACCAAGUAGAAUGCUGAGCACGUAGCAUCUGAAACUCCCCUGACGUGCGCGCGCGCGCGCACACACACACACACACACACACACACACACACACGGCCUCCUAGAAGUUUCCACACAUGCACACACAGCAGCCCCCCUUCAGGCUGCACCCUCUCCCUGGAAAGGUCAAACAAGACUCUCCAAAUGAAGCCUGGCCCUUCCAUUCAGUUUAAAACUGUACCCUGUAGGACCCUUCCCCGUCCUCCCAAUCUCCUUCCUCAGCCCUUUUAGGUUUAUUUUGUCCACAGCACUUACUGCGUCUAACAUAACAGAUAAUUUUCUUAUUCUGUCCAUUCCUGAUGGCCUUCUCCCCCACUAGAAUGUGAAUUCCACAGGGGAAAAGAGCUUUGUCAUUUUGUUCACCAACGUAUUCCAAGUGCCUAGACAGUGUCUGGAACGUGAUAGGUGUCCGAGCAACGUCUGGAAAGACGUGAUGAUGAACUCCAUCCCAGGAUGCCUGUGAAUCAGCCCCCCAAGGCCGUCCUGGGCUUUGCUGUUGGAAGCCUUCUGCGUCCCAGAGCCACGAAGUCCCCUUACCCUGUGCUCCCGAUUCAAGCUGCUGUCCUUCCGGAUGCUUUCCCGAAGGCUGUGCCUUCGACGGAUCAGGAUCUCCUUGGCUUGCCUCUCACUCGUGUCGGCCGUCAGAUUGUGUCGGUUGUAGGACAAAGUCUGAAAUGAAAACACAAGCAACAUUUUACAAAAACGAUGAUCACUGCCCGGAAAUUCCAAAACUUUACUACAUUUCUUUGGCUUUGCACCUCUGAUAGGAGGACGCUGCGUUAAAAGGGGCUUGAGGAAAAGAAUGGAGCAGCCGUAAUGUCGGAUGGAAGGGGAUGGUCUGCGGGGAGGCCAGCUAAGAAGCCACAGAAAUGACCCUGAUGUGAGUGACUGGGACCCCUGACAACUGCUGUGUCCCUGUGCCACUUCGCCUCACUGUGCCUCAGUUUCUUCAUCUGUAAAAUGGAGACAACAACAACACCACUUGUUAGAGGAUUAAAAGAGAGAUAUAACAUCAUCAUUGAAGGAGAAGAAUCUUGGGACUUCCCUGGUGGCGCAGUGGUUAAGAAUCUGCCUGCCAAUGCAGGGGACACGGGUUCGAGCCCUGGUCCAGGAAGAUCCCACGUGCCGCGGAGAAACUAAGCCCAUGCACCACAACUACUGAGCCUGAGUUCUAGAGCUCACAAGCCACAACUACUGAGCCCACGCGCCUAGAGCCCGUGCUCUGCAACAAGAGAAGCCACCACAAUGAGAAGCCCAUGCACCACAAGGAAGAGUAGCCCCCGCUCACUGCAACUAGAGAAAGCCCACAUGCAGCAAUGAAGACCCAACGCAGCCAAAAAUAAAAUAUUAACUAAUUAAUUUAGAAAAAAAAGAAGAAUCUUAAAGAAUAACAUUUAGGAAUUAUUCAAUAUUUUUAAAUAAUUCAAAAAUCUAAAACAUUGAUUUCAGUGUCAAAAUCAUUCAUACAAGUUUAAUCAUGCACAAGUUUUUUCAGGGUCUAUUCAUGCAAUUAUUUAAGGAGGAAAGACCAGAGUAGCUUGCAAUGCUAUCACUUUAUUAUUUCUAAUACUCCAUAAAUUAAUAUAGGAUGCUUUUUCCAACAAAAACUUUAGCUGCAUUUUGCUAUUAUGGCCUAUUCUUUUAAAUACCUCAUUAGAAACAUUUACAAAGACACCAUUUGUAAUAUGUAUGUACAUACAAUUGAUCCUCAUUAUUCAGGGAUUCCGUAUUUGCAAGCUCAACUACUUGCUAAAAUUUAUAAACACAUUAUCAGUACUCAUCGCACUGUCCCAGUCAUUCACAGACAUGUGCAAAGUGGAGAAAAACUUGAGUCGUUGGGCAUGCAUGUUCCCAAAUGAGGCCAAACUCAUCUGCCUCCUUGUCUCAGCUCUCAUGCUGUAAAAAAAAAUUCCUUUUCACAGUCUAUUUAGUGCCAUGUUUUUCACAUUUUUGUGCUUUUUAUUGGUGAUCUUGCUGUUCUAAAUGGUCCCCAAGUAUAGCUCUGAAGUGCUGUCUAGUGUUCCUAAGCACAAGAAGUUCCUAAGUCUUAAUUCUACUUUUUCUGAAGGAUAUUUUAGCAGGAUAUGGAGCUCUAGGUUCAGUUACAUUUUUUCAGAAUUUUUGAAGCUAUCAAUGGUGUCCACUGGUUUUGCUGAAAAAUCAGUUGCCAGGUUUCUUUUCUCUUUUGAAGAAAGUAAGUCUCUUUUUCCCUCUGAGUAUGUUUAAGAUUUUCUCUUUGUAUUUUUUACUUUUAGCGGUGUUACUAGCAUGUAUCUCAUUUGGUUCUCUCCUCAUCUAAUCUGCUUGGGGUUUUCACAGUUCAUAUCCUUUAUCUAUUUGGGGAAAUUCUCAGUCACUAUCUCUUAAAAUAUUGCUUCUACCUUUCUCUCUUAUCUCCUUCUGGAACUUUUCACUAUAUAUAUAUGAAACUAUCCCAUAUAUUUCUCACUUUCUUUUUCAUCAUUUUUUCACUCUGUUCUUCAUUCUGGUUAUUUCCUUCUGUCCUAUCUUCCAAUUAAUCACUUCUCUCUUCAGCUGUGUCUAAUCUGUUUUUAUACCUAUCAAAUGAGAUCCUAAAUUUAGUUAUUUUUAGCUCAAAUAUUCCACUUAGAUAUUUUUUGUUUAUAUAAUCUCCAUGAGGAUGCCAAAAGUGUCAAUGCCAUUUUCUUUCCUUAAACGUGUUAUUAUUUCUAUUUUAAAGUCACUGUCUGAUGAAUCAAUUAUCUGAAUCCCCUUUGUGCCU